AGUUCCAACCAGCACGGUAUUCACGUGAACGACUGAAAGGGGCGGGUUUUUGGCCCUGGAGACCUCGUCACUAAUUCAUGCCUAUCCACUCCAUUCUCCUUCCAUAGCUAGAUCGCUAGAUUGCCGUUGUAAUAAACCCUAGAUCCCUUAUCUUCAACCACUAGAUCUUUCCUCUUUGAAAUACUAUCCUCCAAAUCACAAUGUAUCCGGAUGAUGCUCGAUCCUAUGAUGCAGGAGACGAUCAUCCAUCCCUGGAUGCUUCUGAGAUACCCAAUUUUUUUCAGAACCAUGGUGCCCCCUGUUGCUCAAAUCUAUAAUGUUUUUGAAUCUGGCACGCCAUCCUUGUUUGCUGCUGGUGUUGUGAUCUCACCUUAUGGCCACAUCCUUACUAUCAACACUAACACCGGCACCGACACUAACAGAACUGGAAUGCAUGUUUGUUUUAAAGAAGAUGAUGAAGGAUUCAAGGCGGCUAUCUGUCAUGAAUAUGCUGAUCAUCCUUUUUUAUUGCUCAAGUUGGAGUCAGAGAGGGACUUUCCCUAUGCACGCCUCGCUACCUCUGCAGCUGUACAAGGCAGUGAGAUUCAUUUUAUUCAUGUCUUUUUUAAUAAUGUGUAUUCAUGUCUUUUUUAAUAAUGUGUGUCGAUAUCUCAAAGGAAUGGUUUCAUGUCCAAACAGAAACUUGUCUUCUUUUAUCAUGAGUAAAGAAGUGCAACAAAUAGUUGCACCUAGCAUUAAGCAUGCUUAUCACACGAGAGUUCCGAUACAAUUUGUGGAGGUAGGAGCUAUUUAUGGCAGCGAGCAUGUGUGUGGCACCCAUUCUUUAGCAAGAAUGGGACUGUUGUUGGCAUCUACUGUUUCAGUGCCUUUAAUCUAGCUUAUGGAUUUAAUCUGGAUUACCUGGAGACGAUGUCUCCUGCUUGGGAGGAAAAGAUAACCGAGUGUCAACCAGCAAGGCGGACCAAACUUAACUCCGACGGAUUGGCCUCCGGUUCUCAAUCUGAGGGGCAGCGUGCUAUGUAAGCUGCGGCGGCUGCUGUGGUAAGCUGCGGCGGGCGGCGGGUGACCAAUUCAUCAUAUUGCUACCAAAACACCUACUUUUAGUAUGACUGGUCUCUGAUGCUUGUUAUUGAUGUUCAUUUCCUGUUCCAUCCAUGCCUUUUCUUUUGUAUUGCAAUACCCACCCCCAAAACCCCCUUUUCUGUCCUGGCGUCUGUGUUACUGGUCUUUAGUUUAUGUUUAACUGGCAGCAAAUUGCAUUUUAACCCCUUUCUGGUUUGGGAGGGUAUUCCUGAAAAACCAGAAACUAUUGAGCCAUUGUUACUGAAAAACUGGACAUGACUGUCCUACAGGCUUCAAUUUACAAGCAAAACGAUUUCGGGUCCUAGAGACUUCCAAUUUACAAGUAUAAUACAAUACAGUUCAUCCCUGUAAAGUGUACACAUGCCAACUGACUUGAGAACAAUUCCAGCUCCCACGCUAAUAGGGCAGAGUGGUUAUGGAACUGAUAAGCAAAGGAGGGAACGAGUAAAGGGGGGGAACUUGAAGCAUUAUUAAUCCAAAGAGAACCUCUGCGUUUGUUAUAUAAGAUAACAACAACAAACAACAAUGAAAAUGGCAGGUACAUAUAUAUAUUUAUAGCUACAGAGGGAGGAUAUUCCAAUGCUCCCCCACUACUACAGCUUCGAAACCAUGACCUUCAACCACGCUACUCCAUUACAAUUGACACCAAACACCAGGAACCAUCCGGUCUAAAUG